rnacentral:tRNA from 1 species
GGGGACUUAGCUCAGUGGUAGAGCGCUUGCCUAGCAAGUACAAGGCCCUGGGUUCGGUCCCCAGCUCCG